CACAGCAACACUGCUUAGCGACAGUUUCGUUGCUCUGUCAUCGGUAGAAAAAAUUCAGGCGUCGUAUGUAAAAAUUUUCUUUGUAUAAGAUAAUUCAAAUUGGAUAAAAACAACUAAAUUGGUGUUACACCAUAGUGAAAAAUUAUUCAAUAGGCAACAUAAUUGCACCUGUUGAAAAGUAUUGUGGGAUUCAACAUUUUCCUCAUUGGAAACACGAGAAAACUCAUCUACUGCAACAAAAUGGCCCAUUCGUUGCAUACAGAACGCAGCAUUCACGAGAUGCUAAAAGACACACCGCCGAUGAAUGAAAGUGGUAGUGCAAUACAUAGUGGGACCGAAGGCCGGCCGUUUAUGCCCCCAAAUAGUCUACCACUGCAUAAUCAUUCAGCACCCGCUACACCGAUGACACAAACUAGCCCCCAGAACGGCAUGGACGCCGGUCUUUUACGUACGGGGGCUUCAAAAAUCGACAGUAUAAAGAAUUGGAGCAUAUCAACUUACAAAUGUACUCGACAGAUUAUGUUAGAAAAAUUAGGUAAAUCGCAACGUACUGUUGACUCAGAGUUGGAAGCGCAAAUUGAACAGUUGCGAGAAACACAGCGGAAAUAUUUAUCUAUUUUACGUCUGACGCGAGCUUUCAGUUCUCAUUUUCAUCAUGUAGUAGUAACUCAACAUGCAUUGGCCGAGGCAUUUGCUGAUUUAGCACAGAAAAGUCCAGAAUUACAAGAAGAAUUUACAUGUAAUUCUGAAACGCAACGAAAUCUGACAAAGAACGGUGAGUUGCUGCUGAGUGCUCUGAAUUUUUUCAUUUCAUCAGUGAAUACAUUGUGCAAUAAAACUAUCGAUGAUACGUUACUCACAAUCAAACAAUAUGAAAUAGCCAGAGUGGAGUUUGACGCGUAUCGUAUGGAUUUAGAAAACACAAAACCUGAAUUGCCACAGAGUCCUGUCGCCGAAGAGGCGCAGAAAAACUUUUCUCAUCAUAAGGAACUUUAUGAAAAAUUACGUGCCGAUGUCGCCGUGAAAAUGCAAUUUCUAGACGAAAAUAGAAUUAAAGUGAUGCAUAAACAGCUAGUAUUACUUCAUAAUGCAAUAGCUGCUUAUUUUUCGGGAAAUGCGGUUGCUCUAGAGAAUACAAUGAAACAAUUUAACAUAAAAUUGAAGGCGCCCAAUGCCACGACUGGAUCCUGGUUAGAGCAGUAGUAUUGCUAAAUACCCGUCCAUGUAAACAACCAACAGUUUUAAGCACCUUACAUUAGAAAAUGUCUCAUACAUAAAAAUCAAGAAUAAGUCUUUCUUCGAUUACCUAAAUAUUGAAAAAGAGCACAGAUUUUCGGAGAACAAACCUAGUAAACUUUUUCGCUUAAAUGGAUGUUAAAGUAAAGUGUUUUUCAAUAAUUCGAAAGAAAUAGUAAAACAAUAAGCUUUCAAUAGCGGAAAGAAAUGUAAGCGGAAAAGUUGUAUUACAUAUUAUACGUAGUAUUAUAAGAAAAUCCAAUACAAUAGUUCCUGGUUUCCCCCUGAACUAUUUGAAUAGAAAUGUUAGGUUCACAUCAUAAAAUACUUGUUUUCAGAACAAUAUAAAAUUUAAAGAUGAUUUACAAUUUAAGAAAUAUAACGUUUUCAUAAACUUGUACAAUCAGUUGGUUAGACAGCAUUUCUCCCACAAAGCCGUAUGAAUACAUAUUAAUUUAAUUAAAUCUUUUAGCA
rnacentral:misc_RNA from 1 species